CCUACGGGCGGCUGCAGUGGGGAAUAUUGGACAAUGGGCGAAAGCCUGAUCCAGCCAUGCCGCGUGUGUGAAGAAGGCCUUCGGGUUGUAAAGCACUUUCAGUGGGGAAGAAAGCCUUGGGGCUAAUACCCUCGAGGAAGGACAUCACCCACAGAAGAAGCACCGGCUAACUCCGUGCCAGCAGCCGCGGUAAUACGGAGGGUGCGAGCGUUAAUCGGAAUUACUGGGCGUAAAGCGCGCGUAGGCGGUCUGAUAAGCCGGUUGUGAAAGCCCCGGGCUCAACCUGGGAACGGCAUCCGGAACUGUCAGGCUAGAGUGCAGGAGAGGAAGGUAGAAUUCCCGGUGUAGCGGUGCAAUGCGUAGAGAUCGGGAGGAAUACCAGUGGCGAAGGCGGCCUUCUGGACUGACACUGACGCUGAGGUGCGAAAGCGUGGGUAGCAAACAGGAUUAGAUACCCCAGUAGUC
rnacentral:rRNA from 1 species